rnacentral:rRNA from 1 species
AGCAACAAUAAGCGGAGGAAAAGAAACCAACAGGGAUUGCCCUAGUAACGGCGAGUGAAGCGGCAACAGCUCAAAUUUGAAAUCUGGCGUCUUUGGCGUCCGAGUUGUAAUUUGCAGAGGGCGCUUUGGCAUUGGCAGCGGUCCAAGUUCCUUGGAACAGGACGUCACAGAGGGUGAGAAUCCCGUACGUGGUCGCUAGCCUUUACCGUGUAAAGCCCCUUCGACGAGUCGAGUUGUUUGGGAAUGCAGCUCUAAAUGGGAGGUAAAUUUCUUCUAAAGCUAAAUACUGGCCAGAGACCGAUAGCGCACAAGUAGAGUGAUCGAAAGAUGAAAAGCACUUUGGAAAGAGAGUUAAAAAGCACGUGAAAUUGUUGAAAGGGAAGCGCUUGCAGCCAGACUUGCCUGUAGUUGCUCAUCCGGGUUUCUACCCGGUGCACUCUUCUAUAGGCAGGCCAGCAUCAGUUUGGGCGGUUGGAUAAAGGUCUCUGUCAUGUACCUCUCUUCGGGGAGAACUUAUAGGGGAGACGACAUGCAACCAGCCUGGACUGAGGUCCGCGCAUCUGCUAGGAUGCUGGCGUAAUGGCUGUAAGCGGCCCGUCUUGAAACACGGACCAAGGAGUCUAACAUCUAUGCGAGUGUUUGGGUGUCAAGCCCGAGCGCGUAAUGAAAGUGAACGGAGGUGGGAACCUUUCGGGGUGCACCAUCGACCGAUCCUGAUGUCUUCGGAUGGAUUUGAGUAAGAGCAUAGCUGUUGGGACCCGAAAGAUGGUGAACUAUGCUUGAAUAGGGUGAAGCCAGAGGAAACUCUGGUGGAGGCUCGCAGCGGUUCUGACGUGCAAAUCGAUCGUCAAAUUUGGGCAUAGGGGCGAAAGACUAAUCGAACUAU